rnacentral:misc_RNA from 1 species
GAUGAAGAACGUAGCGAAAUGCGAUAAGUAAUGCGAAUUGCAGAAUUUCCGUGAAUCAUCGAAUCUUUGAACGCACAUUGCGCCCCUUGGUAUUCCAUGGGGCAUGCCUGUUCGAGCGUCAUCUACACCCUCAAGCACUGCUUGGUGAUGGGCGUCUGUCCCGCCUCUGCGCGCGGACUCGCCCCAAAGGUAUUGGCAGCGGUCCUGUCCGCCUCUCGCGCAGCACAGAUGCGCUUCUCGAGGCUUCGGGGCCCGCGUCCACGAAGCUCACUUACCACGUUUGACCUCGGAUCAGGUAGGGAUACCCGCUGAACUUAAGCAUAUCAAUAAGCGGAGGA